rnacentral:rRNA from 1 species
UACGUAGGGGGCAAGCGUUGUCCGGAAUUAUUGGGCGUAAAGAGCGCGUAGGCGGUCCGAUAAGUCGGCUGUGAAAGUCAGGGGCUCAACCCUUGAAAGCCGGCCGAUACUGUCGGACUAGAGUCCGGAAGAGGCAAGUGGAAUUCCCGGUGUAGCGGUGAAAUGCGCAGAUAUCGGGAGGAACACCAGUGGCGAAGGCGGCUAUCUGGACAGAAACUGACGCUGAGGCGCGAAAGCUAGGGGAGCAAACAGG